rnacentral:rRNA from 1 species
UACGUAGGGUGCAAGCGUUAAUCGGAAUUACUGGGCGUAAAGCGUGCGCAGGCGGUUCGCUAAGACAGAUGUGAAAUCCCCGGGCUUAACCUGGGAACUGCAUUUGUGACUGGCGGCUAGAGUAUGGCAGAGGGGGUAGAAUUCCACGUGUAGCAGUGAAAUGCGUAGAGAUGUGGAGGAAUACCGAUGGCGAAGGCAGCCCCCUGGGCCAAUACUGACGCUCAUGCACGAAAGCGUGGGGAGCAAACAGG